CCUACGGGAGGCAGCAGUGAGGAAUAUUGGUCAAUGGACGAGAGUCUGAACCAGCCAAGUAGCGUGAAGGAUGACUGCCCUAUGGGUUGUAAACUUCUUUUAUAUGGGAAUAAAAUGUUCCACGUGUGGGAUUUUGUAUGUACCAUAUGAAUAAGGAUAGGCUAACUCCGUGCCAGCAGCCGCGGUAAUACGGAGGAUCCGAGCGUUAUCCGGAUUUAUUGGGUGUAAAGGGAGCGUAGGUGGAUUGUUAAGUCAGUUGUGAAAGUUUGCGGCUCAACCGUAAAAUUGCAGUUGAAACUGGCAGUCUUGAGUACAGUAGAGGUGGGCGGAAGUCGGGGUGUAGCGGUGAAAUGCUUAGAUAUCACGAAGAACUCCGAUUGCGAAGGCAGUUCACUGGACUGCAACUGACACUGAGGCUCGAAAGUGUGGGUAUCAAACAGGAUUAGAUACCCCAGUAGUC
rnacentral:rRNA from 1 species